rfam:Danio rerio chromosome 1, GRCz11 reference primary assembly.
UUAAAGGUUCUUCCUAGAACCAUCAACUCCACCAAAGAGGAAUUAU